rnacentral:rRNA from 1 species
CUCAACCGCAGAAGUGCCCUUGAAACUGUUGUUCUUGAGUCCCGGAGAGGCUGUCGGAAUUCGUGGUGUAGCGGUGAAAUGCGUAGAUAUCACGAGGAACACCAGAGGCGAAAGCGGACAGCUGGACGGGUACUGACACUCAAGCACGAAAGCGUGGGGAGCAAACAGGAUUAGAUACCCUGGUAGUCCACGCCGUAAACGAUGGAUGCUCGCCGUUGUCUCGUCAAGGGGCAGUGGCUAAGUUAACGCGUUAAGCAUCCCGCCUGGGGAGUACGAUCGCAAGGUUGAAACUCAAAGGAAUUGACGGGGGCCCGCACAAGCGGUGGAGCAUGUGGCUCAAUUCGAUGCAACGCGAAGAACCUUACCUGGGCUCGAACGCUAGGCGCCCGCUCCUAAAAGGGAGCUUUCCGCAAGGACAC